rnacentral:rRNA from 1 species
UACGUAGGCAGCGAGCGUUGUUCGGAGUUACUGGGCGUAAAGGGUGUGUAGGCGGUCUUCUAAGUUUGGUGUGAAAUCUCCCGGCUCAACUGGGAGGGUGCGCCGAAAACUGGGAGGCUAGAGUGCGGGAUGGGAGAGUGGAAUUCCUGGUGUAGCGGUGAAAUGCGUAGAUAUCAGGAAGAACACCCGUGGCUAAGGCGGCUCUCUAGUACGGUACUGACGCUGAGACGCGAAAGCGUGGGGAGCGAACAGG